rnacentral:lncRNA from 1 species
AUAACCUUUAUUAAGUUGGAGACACCAUUAAUUACUCAAUUUUUUCUUUUAAUCACACUUUACAUAUACACGUGUUCACAAGGAUCAUCAUAUAUAUCUUAUGAUGUGUAUAAUACAUGUGUGUGAUGUGGGUAUUAGAUAUGACUAUAGUUAUUAUUAGGCAGUAGACUUAAAAUGCAUAGAUCGUAUGUAAAUAGUGUUAUCAUUCAUAGCAUGCAUGCUACUCGACAUAUUUUAUGUAAUGAAGUGAAAUUAUAUGUAAAUUGUAU